AACCUUUACACUGCACGACAGUGCGAUAGGGGGACACCGAGUGCGAGGGCAUAGAGCCCUCGCUUUUCUGAACCUUAAGGUGGUUCAGGAACAAGGGCUGGGCAAGACCGGUGCCAGCCGCCGCGGUAACACCGGCAGCCCAAGUGAUGGCCGAUUUUAUCGGGCCUAAAGCGUCCGUAGCUGGCCGCGCAAGUUCGUCGGGAAAUCCACGCGCUUAACGUGUGGGCGUCCGGCGAAAACUGUGCGGCUUGGGACCGGAAGAUCUGAGGGGUACGUCUGGGGUAGGAGUGAAAUCCCGUAAUCCUGGACGGACCACCGAUGGCGAAAGCACCUCAGAAGGACGGAUCCGACAGUGAGGGACGAAAGCUAGGGUCUCGAACCGGAUUAGAUACCCGGGUAGUCCUAGCCGUAAACGAUGCUCGCUAGGUGUGGCACAGGAUACGAGCCUGUGCUGUGCCGUAGGGAAGCCGUGAAGCGAGCCGCCUGGGAAGUACGUCUGCAAGGAUGAAACUUAA
rnacentral:rRNA from 1 species